rnacentral:rRNA from 1 species
UACGAGGGGGGCAAGCGUUGUUCGGAAUUAUUGGGCGUAAAGGGCGCGUAGGCGGUGCGGUAAGUCACCUGUGAAACCUCUAGGCUUAACCUAGAGCCUGCAGGCGAAACUGCCGUGCUGGAGUGUGGGAGAGGUGCGUGGAAUUCCCGGUGUAGCGGUGAAAUGCGUAGAUAUCUGGAGGAACACCGGUGGCGAAGGCGGCGUCCUGGACCAACACUGACACUGAUGAGCGAAAGCCAGGGGAGCAAACGGG